GCGGUGAAAUUGGAAGUGUGCUGGCCUUUCUUUUUUGAAGAAAAAACAUCGGAGGGAGAGAGCUUUUAUUGUUGAUCUGAAAAAUUAGGGUUUAAGCUUUAAAUUGUGGUUCUUUUGGAGCCAUGGAUUUUCAGGUCGUUGUUCUCGCAGGAGGUACCUCGAAGAAUCUCAUCCCCCUUGUUUCGAAGGAUGUUCCAAAGGCUUUGCUUCCUGUGGCGAACAGACCAGUGCUCUCAUAUGUGCUUGAACUUCUCGAAGCAAGCAACCUCAAAGACUUAAUCCUGGUGGUGGAAGGGCAAGAUGCAGCUCUUCAAAUUGGAAGUUGGGUCUCUGGUGCGUAUGCAGAUCGUCUUCAUGUCGAGGUAGCUACAGUCUCGGAUGAUGCGGGAACUGCAGGUGGACUUCGUGCUGUGGCUCAUCACCUCACUGCAAGUGACAUCUUGGUUGUGAGUGGUGAUCUACUUUGUGAUGUGCCACCUGGGGCGAUAGCAGCUGCUCAUAGAAGGCAGGAUGCGACCAUGACUGCACUUCUUUGUGUGCCCCCUGUUAGUGGGCCUUCGGAAAGUGGUUCGGCUGGUGGAAAGGACAAGGCCAAAAAACCAGGCCCCCAAAAUAUCAUUGGGCUUGAUUCCUCUAAGCAAUUCUUAUUAUUUGUAGCCUCAGGGGCUGAGGUUGAGAAAGAUGUUCGUAUUCAGCGAAGUAUUCUCCGGGCUGCAGGCCAGAUGGAAAUCCGGGCCGAUUUAAUGGAUGCUCAUUUGUAUGCUUUUAAUAGGACUGUCCUGCUAGAGGUUUUGAAUGAGAAGCCCACAUUUCAGAGCAUAAAGCUAGAUGUAGUGCCGUAUCUCGUGAGAUCCCAGCUGAAGUCAGAGGCUUUGUCCAGUGGGGAACCUCUAAAGGAAGAAGGCUGGAAUGAAAAUGGAACAACCCAGAAUAACCAAUCAUAUAUCUCUGAGCAACAUGUAAUCUCUACCCAUGGAUUCCUUCAACAGCGUUUAUUUGGUUCCAACGGUUUGAUUGGUGCACCAAAAAUGCGUAAAUGUUGUGCUUAUAUUGCUCCUAAGCACAAGUAUUGUGCCCGCUUGAAUUCCAUUCAAGCUUUUAGUGACAUAAAUCGAGAUGUGAUAGGGGAGGCGAUUCACCUCACAGGCUAUUCUCUAUCGUCACACAACAACAUUAUUCAUCCAACAGCAGAGCUUGGAACCAAAACCACAGAAUGGGAAAAUGGUUCAGGUUGGGCCCCACUGCAUGCUUGGAGAAGGAUCACAAUUGGGAGACAAAUGUAGCGUCAAACGAUCUGCCAUUGGCCGUCACUGCAGGAUUGGUUCCAGUGUGAAGAUUAUCAACUCGGUUGUCAUGAACCAUGUUACAAUUGAGGAUGGGUGCUUAAUCCAAAGCUCCGUAGUGUGCAGUAAUGUGCACCUUCAAGAGAGAGUAAUUUUAAAAGAUUGUCAGGUUGGAGCAGGCUAUGUUGUUUCUGCUGGUAGUCAGCACAAGGCGGACUCGUUGGCGAGGAAAGAGAAAGCAUGAUAUGCCUUUUCCACCUCUGAUUUCACGCCUGUUGUUAUGAUUCUCUCCAACAUACAGACAUUUGAGAGCCUUUUUGAAUUUAAUACUUGGUUAGCUUUAAUUUUUAAUUCAAAUUUAAUUUGUUUUGCUAAUCGAUGCUUGUGGGGUUCUACUGCUUUCAUGAGCCAAAACAAACCAAAAAAACACCUACCCCAAAAAAAAAAAAAGGACGCAUGGGUGGCUUGGAACUUUUCUUAGAACAGGAAUGAAAUUUUUGCUGUUAGAAUCCU